UUGCGGGCGCAGAAUUAGAAAUGCAUUCCACAGUCUCUUCUUUUAAAAACGGAAACUUAAAUUUAAAUGCAGAAUCUAACGAUUCCAAAGUCGUAGCUUUCCGCGCUCCCAGAGCGCAGGCAAGCUUGGCUUGCGCAGCUUAAGCUAUAGCUGUCCGUUGCAUUAAAUUCACCGUUGGUUUAUUGCGGCGUUAAUUAAACGGUAAACUUUUUAAUCCGUCUUACCGCGCGGGUUGAAGAGUAUUCAGCGGUAUGCCCCUGCAACAGCCCGUCCGCUCGGCGUUUGCAGGGAAAGCCAAAAGGCGGAAUAAGUAUGUAGAAAGCUUAAACUAAACCCGUAAGACUCGGGUGCAAGUCCCGACUCGUCCACCA
rnacentral:tmRNA from 1 species